UACAGAGGUCUCAACCGUUGUUCGGAUUCAUUGGGCGUAAAGGGCGCGUAGGCGGCUUACCAAGUCAGGCGUGAAAUUCCCGGGCUCAACCUGGGGGCUGCGCUUGAUACUGGUGAGCUUGAAUGCGGGAGAGGAUAGUGGAAUUCCCAGUGUAGAGGUGAAAUUCGUAGAUAUUGGGAAGAACACCGGUGGCGAAGGCGGCUAUCUGGCCCGUAAUUGACGCUGAAGCGCGAAAGCGUGGGGAGCAAACAGG
rnacentral:rRNA from 1 species